rnacentral:rRNA from 1 species
GACGAACGCUGGCGGCGUGCUUAACACAUGCAAGUCGAACGGAAAGGCCCUGCUUUUGUGGGGUGCUCGAGUGGCGAACGGGUGAGUAACACGUGAGUAACCUGCCCUUGACUUUGGGAUAACUUCAGGAAACUGGGGCUAAUACCGGAUAGGAGCUCCUGCUGCAUGGCGGGGGUUGGAAAGUUUCGGCGGUUGGGGAUGGACUCGCGGCUUAUCAGCUUGUUGGUGGGGUAGUGGCUUACCAAGGCUUUGACGGGUAGCCGGCCUGAGAGGGUGACCGGCCACAUUGGGACUGAGAUACGGCCCAGACUCCUACGGGAGGCAGCAGUGGGGAAUAUUGCACAAUGGGCGGAAGCCUGAUGCAGCAACGCCGCGUGCGGGAUGACGGCCUUCGGGUUGUAAACCGCUUUCGCCUGUGACGAAGCGUGAGUGACGGUAAUGGGUAAAGAAGCGCCGGCUAACUACGUG